AUCUCUUUUCCUUCUAGUAGCAUCUAAUCUCUCUUCCAUCUAGUAGCAUCUAAUUUUCCUUCCUUCUAGUAGCAUCUAAUCUCUUUUCCUUCUAGCAGCAUCUAAUCUCUCUUCCUUCUAGUAGCAUCUAAUUUGCAUUACUUCUAGCAGCAUCUAAUCUUCCUUCCUUCUAGUUGAAUCUAAUCUCUCUUCUUUCCAUUAGCAUCUAAUCUCUCUUCCUUCUAGCCGCAUCUAAUCUCUCUUCAUUCUAGUAGCAUCUAAUUUUCCUUCCUUCUAGCAGCAUCUAAUCUCUUUUCCAUCUAGCCGAAUCUAAUCUCUCUUCCUUCUAGCAGCAUCUAAUCUUUUUUCCAUCUAGCCGAAUCUAAUCUCUCUUCCUUCUAGGCGAAUCUAAUCUCUCUUCCUUCUAGCAGCAUCUAAUCUCUUUUCCAUCUAGCCGAAUCUAAUCUCUCUUCCUUUUAGCAGCAUCUAAUAUUCAUGCCCUCUAGUAAAGUAUCUAGUAAAGUAUCUAGUAAAGUAUCUAGUAAAGUAUCUAGUUAAGUAUCUAGUAAAGUAUCUAGUAAAGUAUCUAGUAAAGUAUCUAGUAAAGUAUCUAUCAAAUCUCCCACUGAUCUAAUAGCAUCUAACUCCCUUCCUGGUUUAGACAUUGAUAGCUGAGUGGAACGAACUGUACCUGGAUUAUAGAUACGUGUUCGAGAAACGGAUAUAGAGUAUAGGGCAUUUACUACAUUCCUUCUAAGGAGCAUCUUCCUAACUUCUUGUAGCAUCUAAUCUCCUUAUCAUCUAGUAGUAUCUAAUCUCCCUUCCUUCAAGUAGCAUCUAUUCUACCUUUUUUUCAAGUAGCAUAUGAUCUUCCUCCCUUCUAGUAGCAUCUAAUUUCCCUUCCUUCAAGUAGCAUCUAAUCUCCUUCCUUCAAGUAACAUCCAAUCUACCUUCCUUCAAGUAUCAUAUAAUCUUCAGCUCUUCUAGUAGCAUCUAAUCUUCCUACCAUCUAUUAGCAUCUAAUAUCCCUUCCUUCUGGCUAAUAGCAUCUAAUCUUUCCUCCUUUUUAAUCCCUUCAUUUCUAGUAGCAUAUAAUCUCCCUUACUUUAGUAGCUCCUAAUCUUACCCUUCUGGUAGCAUCUAAUCUCCCUCCCUUCUAGUAGCAUCUAAUCUCACUCCUUCUAGUGGCAUAAUCUCCCUUCCUUCUAGUAGUUUCUAAUCUCCCUUCCUUCAAGUAGCAUCUAAUCUCAUUUCCUUCUAUUGGUAUCUAAUCUUCCAUUCCGUCUAGUAGCAUCUUAUCUUCCCCUUCUAGUAGCAUCUAAUCUCCCUUCCCUCAAGUAGCAUCUAAUCUCCCCCUUUCAAGUAGAAUAUAAUCUCACUCGUUUCUAGUAGCAUCUAAUCACCCUUCCUUCUUGUAACAUCUAAUCUCCCUUCUGUCUAGUAGCAUUUAAUCCCCCCUUUUAAUAGCAUCUAAUCUGGUUUGAGGUUUAAUAUUAUGUUGAGUCGUUUAAUAGUUUUUUCUAAUUCCAUGGGGCGGUUUUACGUUUUCCUAUUCUAAGGCCGAUUUGAAGUUUUUCUAAUCUCAAGCCGAUUUGACAUUUCCUACUCUUAAGCUGAUUUGACGUUUAACAAAUCUCAAGCGGUUUAAAACGUUUAAUGCCCCCCCAAAAAACCGGAAAAAUCAGGACGCAAAUGUAAUUCUUAUUAAUUUUUCGUAGGUUUGUGCUAUGUACACCUGUAAACAGAAACCAGCUUCAACUCCUAGCUGCAGCAUGUAUUCUCCUUAGUUCCAAAGUAUGUUCGCAAAGCAGGGGCUGUGUUGUCGGAUGUAAACAGUUAAUAGACUAUUCAGAUAACUGUAUAACUAACAACCAACUCCUGGAUAUGGAACUACUAGUAGUAUCCUCCCUGUGUUGGGAUCUAUACCUAGAGCCUGCUGCAGAAGAUGCCUGCAACCUUAUCACUGAUCUUCAGGUAUCUAGUUGACUAGUUUAUCAGUUGAUCAGUUGAUCAGUUGAUCAGUUGACCAGUUGACCACUGCCUUCCGAUUUACGGCCUGAUAACCUCAUCAAGUGACCAUCAAACUUUAUAAUUUAGACCAAAAUGUUGUCACCAAAAAGAAAAGAUUGCAUUUAAUAAUUAAAAUUCACUAACAUUCCUAAAAUAUAAAAAUUCCGCCUCAAAUUAUUUUACGUUAAUUUAGUGAUUUUAGCCAAAUUUUCAUGUUUUAGGAACAAUUUUGAAACAAGUGUUUGUAUAUAUGAAAAUGAAGACGACAUAUUUUCGUCUAAAUUGUCCAUGUAUCCUCUAAUAUUGUUGUGAUUUCCUUGAUUAAUCAUUAAAUUUACACGAGAAUAGAGUACAAACAUGGAAGAAUGUUAUCUUAAGAUAAAUGUUUACUUAUGUAAAAAUAACAUUUUCCCAGUUUUGUAAAGGACUAUUCUCACAUCUUUACCAAAUUGUAUAUUUUUUAGCAUUUAUAUUCAUUUAAGAAUAAAUUUACAAUUUAUACUAUGUAGUUGAAUUUGUAAUAAAAUAUGUUUGAUCGUUGUAAUACUUUAGUGUGCAGUAAAACCCGAAAUUUCGGAGACAUCGAAAGAAUUAUAAAAUGUCGUCUUGACAAUCUUCAAUGGGUUUUAUACAGAGCGUCCCAUAUCAUAUUAGAUUAUCUCCAAGCUUUAACGCCAAAACAACACAUAAAACUAGAAAAGCUUAGAAUGUCCAGCAAGAAUAUUUUUAUAUUAGCCUAAUUAAAUUUUUCAAAAUGAUUUAAUCUUCUUAAAUUUUCUGAUUAGUCCUGAA